ensembl:rRNA 5S_rRNA 5S ribosomal RNA
CGCCACAGCCAUAUCACCCUGCAGUCCAAGACUGGUUGCCCACUGAAGCUAAGCAGGGUUGAGCCUGGUCAUUACCUGGAUGGGAGACCUCCUGGGAAAAACUAGGUUGGUGUUGGAA